UACGGAGGGCGCAAGCGUUGUUCGGAAUCAUUGGGCGUAAAGCGCGUGUAGGUGGCUUGGCAAGUCGGGUGUGAAAUCCCGGGGCUCAACCCCGGAACUGCAUUCGAUACUGCCUCGCUAGAGUCCCGGAGAGGAGGGCGGAAUUCCCGGUGUAGAGGUGAAAUUCGUAGAUAUGGGGAGGAACACCGGUGGCGAAGGCGGCCACCUGGACGGUCACUGACGCUGAGACGCGAAAGCGUGGGUAGCAAACAGG
rnacentral:rRNA from 1 species